UGUACUGUGUAACUGCGAAUGGCUCAUUAAAUCAGUUAUCGUUUAUUUGAUAGUACCUUACUACAUGGAUACCUGUGGUAAUUCUAGAGCUAAUACAUGCUAAAAACCCCGACUUCAGGAAGGGGUGUAUUUAUUAGAUAAAAAACCAACGCCCUUCGGGGCUCCUUGGUGAAUCAUAAUAACUUAACGAAUCGCAUGGCCUUGCGCCGGCGAUGGUUCAUUCAAAUUUCUGCCCUAUCAACUUUCGAUGGUAGGAUAGUGGCCUACCAUGGUGGCAACGGGUAACGGGGAAUUAGGGUUCGAUUCCGGAGAGGGAGCCUGAGAAACGGCUACCACAUCCAAGGAAGGCAGCAGGCGCGCAAAUUACCCAAUCCCGAUACGGGGAGGUAGUGACAAUAAAUACUGAUACGGGGCUCUUUUGGGUCUCGUAAUUGGAAUGAGAACAAUUUAAAUCCCUUAACGAGGAACAAUUGGAGGGCAAGUCUGGUGCCAGCAGCCGCGGUAAUUCCAGCUCCAAUAGCGUAUAUUAAAGUUGUUGCAGUUAAAAAGCUCGUAGUUGAACCUUGGGCCUGGCUGGCCGGUCCGCCUCACCGCGAGUACUGGUCCGGCUGGGCCUUUCCUUCUGGGGAACCUCAUGGCCUUCACUGGCUGUGGGGGGAACCAGGACUUUUACUGUGAAAAAAUUAGAGUGUUCAAAGCAGGCCUUUGCUCGAAUACAUUAGCAUGGAAUAAUAGAAUAGGACGUGUGGUUCUAUUUUGUUGGUUUCUAGGACCGCCGUAAUGAUUAAUAGGGAUAGUCGGGGGCGUCAGUAUUCAGCUGUCAGAGGUGAAAUUCUUGGAUUUGCUGAAGACUAACUACUGCGAAAGCAUUCGCCAAGGAUGUUUUCAUUAAUCAGGGAACGAAAGUUAGGGGAUCGAAGACGAUCAGAUACCGUCGUAGUCUUAACCAUAAACUAUGCCGACUAGGGAUCGGACGGGAUUCUAUAAUGACCCGUUCGGCACCUUACGAGAAAUCAAAGUUUU
rnacentral:rRNA from 1 species